rnacentral:rRNA from 1 species
UACAGAGGUCUCGAGCGUUGUUCGGAUUCAUUGGGCGUAAAGGGCGCGUAGGCGGCGGGGUAAGUCUGGUGUGAAAUCUCGGAGCUCAACUCCGAAAUUGCACUGGAUACUGCUCUGCUAGAGGGCUGGAGAGGAGAUCGGAAUUCACGGUGUAGCAGUGAAAUGCGUAGAUAUCGUGAGGAAGACCAGUGGCGAAGGCGGGUCUCUGGACAGUUCCUGACGCUGAGGCACGAAGGCUAGGGGAGCAAACGGG